rnacentral:rRNA from 1 species
GAUGAACGCUGGCGGCGUGCCUAAUACAUGCAAGUCGAGCGAACAGACGAGGAUCUUGCUCCUCUUACGUUAGCGGCGGACGGGUGAGUAACACGUGGAUAACCUACCUAUAAGACUGGGAUAACUUCGGGAAACCGGAUCUAAUACCGGAUAAUAUAUUGAACCGCAUGGUUCAAUAGUGAAAGACGGUUUUGCUGUCACUUAUAGAUGUAUCCGCGCCGCAUUAGCUAGUUGGUAAGGUAACGGCUUACCAAGGCAACGAUGCGUAGCCGACCUGAGAGGGUGAUCGGCCACACUGGAACUGAGACACGGUCCAGACUCCUACGGGAGGCAGCAGUAGGGAAUCUUCCGCAAUGGGCGAAAGCCUGACGGAGCAACGCCGCGUGAGUGAUGAAGGUCUUCGGAUCGUAAAACUCUGUUAUUAGGGAAGAACAAAUGUGUAAGUAACUAUGCACGUCUUGACGGUACCUAAUCAGAAAGCCACGGCUAACUACGUG